GUCUGUAGUUCGCCAGGUGAGGUGUGGUCAGUCUCCCCUUCCCUGUCUGGUCUGUAGUUCGCCAGGUGAGGUGUGGUCUGUCUCCCCCUUCCCUGUCUGGUCUGUAGUUCGCCAGGUGAGGUGUGGUCAGUCUCCCCCUACCCUGUCUGGUCUGUAGUUCGCCAGGUGAGGUGUGGUCUGUUCCCCUUCCCUGUCUGGUCUGUAGUUCACCAGGUGAGGUGUGGUCAGUCCCCCCCUUCCCUGUCUGGUCUGUAGUUCGCCAGGUGAGGUGUGAGACAGACUGUAUCAUGUUCGUGCUUCUCUGCCUUUUUUUUACCUGUUUUUACAUGUGGUUUUCAACAUGAAGCCUUUCCUCUUGUACAGAACUUUCUGAAGGUUUCAUUAAACAUGUUUUUAAAAGUUCAAUAUUCUUCCACAUUUAAUAAAGUCUUGAAAGAG